GUUUCCGCUGUCAUAGCGAGAGGGAAACGCCCGGCUCCAUUCCGAACCCGGAAGCUAAGCCUCUCAGCGCCGAUGGUACUGCACUCGUGAGGGUGUGGGAGAGUAGGUCGCAGCGGGACAUU
rnacentral:rRNA from 1 species